rnacentral:rRNA from 1 species
UACGGGGGGAGCAAGCGUUGUUCGGAUUUACUGGGCGUAAAGGGCGCGUAGGCGGCGUGACAAGUCACUUGUGAAAUCUCCGGGCUUAACUCGGAACGGUCAAGUGAUACUGUCGUGCUAGAGUACAGAAGGGGCAACUGGAAUUCUCGGUGUAGCGGUGAAAUGCGUAGAGAUCGGGAGGAACACCUGUGGCGAAGGCGGCCGACUGGGCCGACCCUGACGCUGAGGCGCGAAGGCGUGGGGAGCGAACGGG